UUUCCUCUUCCCACCACCCACCAAAGCAUGGUGUCAAGGAUCUUUUGUUGCUGCUGCCCUGAUGAGGGGUCUUCCACCACAGGUAGCUCCCACAGUCAAAAUGCCUGCCAACAGCGUCACCCACGGACCUUUGAUCUGAAUGCAGACCCUCAAAGAAAUAAUAUGUCAACGAGAUACCAACAUCAUCAUCACCAUCACUUCAACAAUUUUGCGUUGAAGAAGUGUGUUCCUGGGAGACCCUGAUUUGUAUAGAUGGCAGCCCCUUGCAUGCGUGUGAGGCUGCACGGUCACUAGAGUGUCUCCAGGAGGAAGAGGGUGGUGAACAGGGACCAUGAAGACUGAUUCAGAAACUCUCCAAGAGGAGCAGGUGAUGUCUGAGCCAUCCCUGUGCCACCAGCAAGAAUCGCCUCAGCUCCUGGAAAAACCAUUAGGAGCUGCCUCCAAUUAAAGUCCUUAGUUGCAUCGU
rnacentral:lncRNA from 1 species